rnacentral:rRNA from 1 species
UAAUACGUAGGUGGCAAGCGUUGUCCGGAUUUACUGGGCGUAAAGGAUGCGUAGGCGGAUGUUUAAGUGAGAUGUGAAAUACCCGGGCUCAACUUGGGUGCUGCAUUUCAAACUGGACAUCUAGAGUGCGGGAGAGGAAAGCGGAAUUCCUAGUGUAGCGGUGAAAUGCGUAGAGAUUAGGAAGAACACCAGUGGCGAAGGCGGCUUUCUGGACCGUAACUGACGCUGAGGCAUGAAAGCGUGGGGAGCAAACAGG